rnacentral:rRNA from 1 species
UCCCAGACUCCUACGGGAGGCAGCAGUGAGGAAUAUUGGUCAAUGGGCGCGAGCCUGAACCAGCCAAGUCGCGUGAGGGAUGACGGCCCUACGGGUUGUAAACCUCUUUUGCCGGGGAGCAACGGGCGCCACGUGUGGCGCCACUGAGAGUACCCGGAGAAAAAGCAUCGGCUAACUCCGUGCCAGCAGCCGCGGUAAUACGGAGGAUGCGAGCGUUAUCCGGAUUUAUUGGGUUUAAAGGGUGCGUAGGCGGAUUUUUAAGUCAGCGGUAAAAUGUCCGGGCUCAACCCGGGCCGGCCGUUGAAACUGGGGAUCUUGAGUGGGCGAGAAGUAUGCGGAAUGCGUGGUGUAGCGGUGAAAUGCAUAGAUAUCACGCAGAACUCCGAUUGCGAAGGCAGCAUACCGGCGCCCGACUGACGCUGAGGCACGAAAGCGUGGGGAUCGAACAGGAUUAGAUACCCCCGUA